UACGGAGGGAGCUAGCGUUGUUCGGAAUUACUGGGCGUAAAGCGCGCGUAGGCGGCUUUGUAAGUUAGAGGUGAAAGCCUGGAGCUCAACUCCAGAAUUGCCUUUAAGACUGCAUCGCUAGAAUCCAGGAGAGGUGAGUGGAAUUCCGAGUGUAGAGGUGAAAUUCGUAGAUAUUCGGAAGAACACCAGUGGCGAAGGCGGCUCACUGGACUGGUAUUGACGCUGAGGUGCGAAAGCGUGGGGAGCAAACAGG
rnacentral:rRNA from 1 species